rnacentral:rRNA from 1 species
AGCGUAGGUGGCCUAACAUGUCAACUGUGAAAACCCGGAGCUCAACUCCGGACUUGCAGUUGAAACUGGUAGGCUUGAGGACGGUAGAGGAAGACGGAACUGCCAGUGUAGGGGUAAAAUCCUUAGAUAUUGGCAGGAACGCCGGUGACGAAGGUGGUUCUCUGGGCCGGUUCUGACACUGAUGCUCGAAAGCCAGGGGAGCGAACG